GAUGAAGAACGCAGCGAAAUGCGAUACGUAAUGUGAAUUGCAGAAUUCAGUGAAUCAUCGAGUCUUUGAACGCACAUUGCGCCCGCUGGUAUUCCGGCGGGCAUGCCUGUUCGAGCGUCAUUUCAACCCUCAAGCUCUCCGGAGUUUGGUGUUGGGGCGCCUGGGGCUUUUCGACCUCAGGGCCCUCAAGUCCAUCGGCGGGACCGCCAGGACACUGAGCGCAGUAGUAUUAUUUCGCUCGGUAGGAUCUUCCACGGCGGGUCGAUCUGGCCGCUAAACCCCCCAAUUCUCACCAAAGGUUGACCUCGGAUCAGGUAGGAAUACCCGCUGAACUUAAGCAUAUCAAUAAGCGGAGGA
rnacentral:misc_RNA from 1 species